AUUGUGGGCAUAUUAUUAGUUUUACACGUGUCAAUGAAAAAAGUUCUUUAAAGUUAUUCUUUGAAAUAAUGUGUUUUACACUUGAUCAUAUAUAUAUAUAUAUAUAUAUUUUUCUCGUGACUCCUCAUGUCUACUUUUGAGAACAGUACAUGUGUCAAUCUCUAAGUUACAUGUCUUAUAUGUGUGGUUUGUUUUUUUCCUUCUAAAUUGUCGACCUGACCACAUGUUGCAGAUAUUCUUUAAAGGAUGGAGUGAAGUUCUGCCCAUUUUGUACUCAACCUUUCUGGGGUUAGCACUAAUCUUCUUUAAAGUGCAAUCUUUUUCUUCGAUGGUGGAGGGGAAAACGAGGAAAUGCCAACAUCAAAGCUUUCUGGUGGAGCACAAAUUCACUAUAUUUUUCAAUCAAUCUUUGUGAAGAGUUUGGAAGUUUGCAUCACACUACUUUAUGAUCUUAUCUCCAAGAAGUGGAUCCAUGUGAUGACUCAACUGAUGAAGACAUCCGCACCACUAUUCAAAAUGCUACUGGCCCUAAAAGUGCUUUAUUUGUACCAGAGGCUCAAGGGGUUUAAAAGGUUGGGUGGUUCUUUGUUAUUCUAGCAGACUCUGACGGUACAUGCACUUGUACUCUGAAAUUGUACAUGCAUCAUGCAUGUAAUUCACUCAAGGACUAAUUAAAAAUGUCUGCCAUACUGAACUACUAAAACUCUGAAGUUACACUACCAUUGAGUAAUUCAUUGAGAACUCAGAGGUUUGCUGGCUAGUUUUGAAGCUUAAGAUUCAACUAUAUUAAUCAUUUCAAGCAGUUUAAUCCAAACUAUCCAAAGUUUAUUUCUUGAUCAAACUUUGGUUUAUACAUUAGUUUGAAUGUAAUUAUUAUAUUCACAAAAAAAGUGAGAAUUAGCUUAUAUUUUGAAAGAUUUAGCUCAUAUGAGUUGUGAGAUUUGGGAUAUAUGUUUUUCGUUAGCAUAGAUUUAAUUAUUGUAUUAACAUUCUUCAUAAGAUUGCUUUUUAGAUGGAGUUGUAAUGAUCCUUCAUGGCCAGGUGGCAACCAUGGAUUGGAUAUCAUAUAUACAAUCAAUUUUUGAUGGAAAUACAAAUUUUAUAUGUUUGGGAUUUGAAUGGUAGAUCUGAUUUUGAUUUCUUCCUUUUCUUUUGUGUAGUGAUUUAUCUCAAGAAGUGAGAUUUAUAGUGUGUUAUGCAGAAUUUCGAUAAAUUGAAUGCUUACAUGGACAGAAACAAGAUCUUCGAAGCUGUGGGCUGUGUUUAGUUCCAAUUACAAGCACCUUAUCAGUUACUAAUGAGAUCGGAGCUGAUUUUUCGACAUCCAUGUUCGGAGGAAUUUCACAAUUUUGAGGAACUGAUUGUUGCAAUUUAACCAAACCCAAUGAUAUUUAGCAUAAAUUUAAGUAUUGUAUCAACGGUCUUCCUAAGAUUGCUUUUAUAUGGAGUUGGGUAUCAUAUAUACAAUUAAUUUUUUAUGGAAAUACAAAUUUUAUAUGUUUGAGAUUUGAUUGGUAGAUCUGAUUUUGAUUUCUUC